GAUGAACGCUAGCGGCAGGCUUAACACAUGCAAGUCGAGGGGCAGCGCGGGAUAGCAAUAUCCUGGCGGCGACCGGCGGAAGGGUGCGUAACGCGUGAGCGACAUGCCCGUUGCCCGGGGACAACCGGUGGAAACGCCGACUAAUCCCCGAUGGGAUACGAUGCUUCAUGGCAUUGUAUUGAAAGUUACGGCGGCGACGGAUUGGCUCGCGUCCGAUUAGCUGGUUGGCGGGGUAACGGCCCACCAAGGCUGCGAUCGGUAGGGGUUCUGAGAGGAAGGCCCCCCACAAUGGGACUGAGACACGGCCCAUACUCCUACGGGAGGCAGCAGUGAGGAAUAUUGGUCAAUGGGCGGAAGCCUGAACCAGCCAUGCCGCGUGCGGGAAGGAGGCCCUAUGGGCUGUGAACCGCUUUUGCCUGGGGGCAAUAAGGGCGUCGCGCACGUCCGAUGAGGGUACCAGGCGAAUAAGCAUCGGCUAACUCCGUG
rnacentral:rRNA from 1 species